AUGCCCUCUUUGGCAGCAUGUAUAUUAAAAAUUGGAAUGAUACAGAGAUUACCCUUGCCCAAGGAGGGUACAAAUUCAAGAAACAAUCCAUGUUUAA
rnacentral:snRNA from 1 species